CCAGUAGUAAAGACAGUGUAAAACAUGUUCAUUUCUCAGAGAGCCAAGGUUCAAUUUGAAUGCCAGGAAGUACUUACUUACAGUUAGGACCUCCAAGGUAUGGAAGGGCUUCUGCAGGAGAUGGCUGAAGCCCCAUCGGUGAGGGUGUUCAAGGAUAGGCUGGACAUGCACAUGGUAGGCAUGUCAUGAGCGGAGCCGGCUGGAGGUGGGUGUCAGACUAGAUGGC